AUUGAACGCUGGCGGCAGGCCUAACACAUGCAAGUCGAGCGGUAACAGAACUAGCUUGCUAGUUGCUGACGAGCGGCGGACGGGUGCGUAACACGUAGGAAUCUGCCCGGUAGUGGGGGAUAGCCCGGAGAAAUCCGGAUUAAUACCGCAUACGUCCUACUCUUUUUCGGAAGAGGGGGGAAAGCAGGGGAAUCUUCGGAUCCUUGUGCUAUCGGAUGAGCCUGCGUCGGAUUAGCUUGUUGGUGGGGUAAAGGCCUACCAAGGCAACGAUCCGUAGCUGAUCUGAGAGGAUGAUCAGCCACACUGGGACUGAGACACGGCCCAGACUCCUACGGGAGGCAGCA
rnacentral:rRNA from 1 species